rnacentral:rRNA from 1 species
GACGAACGCUGGCGGCGUGCUUAACACAUGCAAGUCGAACGGAAAGGCCCUGCUUUUGUGGGGUGCUCGAGUGGCGAACGGGUGAGUAACACGUGAGUAACCUGCCCUUGACUUUGGGAUAACUUCAGGAAACUGGGGCUAAUACCGGAUAGGAGCUCCUGCUGCAUGGUGGGGGUUGGAAAGUUUCGGCGGUUGGGGAUGGACUCGCGGCUUAUCAGCUUGUUGGUGGGGUAGUGGCUUACCAAGGCUUUGACGGGUAGCCGGCCUGAGAGGGUGACCGGCCACAAUGGGACUGAGAUACGGCCCAGACUCCUACGGGAGGCAGCAGUGGGGAAUAUUGCAAAAUGGGCGGAAGCCUGAUGCAGCAACGCCGCGUGCGGGAUGACGGCCUUCGGGGUGUAAACCGCUUUCGCCUGUGACGAAGCGUGAGUGACGGUAAUGGGUAAAGAAGCACCGGCUAACUACGUG